rnacentral:rRNA from 1 species
AGAGUUUGAUCCUGGCUCAGGAUGAACGCUGGCGGCGUGCCUAACACAUGCAAGUCGAACGGAGUUCUUAAGGAAUGCGACUUCGGUCAAAUGACUUUUGAACUUAGUGGCGGACGGGUGAGUAACGCGUGAGCAACCUGCCUUUCAGAGGGGGAUAACAUUUGGAAACAGAUGCUAAUACCGCAUAAGAUUACAGUACCGCAUGAUACAGUGAUCAAAGGAGCAAUCCGCUGAAAGAUGGGCUCGCGUCCGAUUAGAUAGUUGGUGAGGUAACGGCUCACCAAGUCGACGAUCGGUAGCCGGACUGAGAGGUUGAACGGCCACAUUGGGACUGAGACACGGCCCAGACUCCUACGGGAGGCAGCAGUGGGGAAUAUUGCACAAUGGGCGAAAGCCUGAUGCAGCAACGCCGCGUGAGGGAAGACGGUUUUCGGAUUGUAAACCUCUGUUUUCGGUGACGAACAAAUGACGGUAACCGAGUAGGAAGCCACGGCUAACUACGUGCCAGCAGCCGCGGUAAUACGUAGGUGGCAAGCGUUAUCCGGAAUUACUGGGUGUAAAGGGAGCGCAGGCGGGAUAGCAAGUCAGCUGUGAAAACUAUGGGCUCAACCCAUAAACUGCAGUUGAAACUGUUAUUCUUGAGUGGAGUAGAGGCAAGCGGAAUUCCGAGUGUAGCGGUGAAAUGCGUAGAUAUUCGGAGGAACACCAGUGGCGAAGGCGGCUUGCUGGGCUCUAACUGACGCUGAGGCUCGAAAGUGUGGGGAGCAAACAGGAUUAGAUACCCUGGUAGUCCACACCGUAAACGAUGAUUACUAGGUGUUGGAGGAUUGACCCCUUCAGUGCCGCAGUUAACACAAUAAGUAAUCCACCUGGGGAGUACGACCGCAAGGUUGAAACUCAAAGGAAUUGACGGGGGCCCGCACAAGCAGUGGAUUAUGUGGUUUAAUUCGAAGCAACGCGAAGAACCUUACCAGGUCUUGACAUCCGACUAACGAGAUAGAGAUAUGUCAGGUGCCCUUCGGGGAAAGUCGAGACAGGUGGUGCAUGGUUGUCGUCAGCUCGUGUCGUGAGAUGUUGGGUUAAGU